UACGUAGGGUGCAAGCGUUAAUCGGAAUUACUGGGCGUAAAGCGUGCGCAGGCGGUUGUGCAAGACCGAUGUGAAAUCCCCGGGCUUAACCUGGGAAUGGCAUUGGUGACUGCACGGCUAGAGUGUGUCAGAGGGGGGUAGAAUUCCACGUGCAGCAGUGAAAUGCGUAGAGAUGUGGAGGAAUACCGAUGGCGAAGGCAGCCCCCUGGGAUAACACUGACGCUCAUGCACGAAAGCGUGGGGAGCAAACAGG
rnacentral:rRNA from 1 species